UACGAAGGGGGCUAGCGUUGCUCGGAAUCACUGGGCGUAAAGCGCACGUAGGCGGACUCUUAAGUCAGGGGUGAAAUCCUGGAGCUCAACUCCAGAACUGCCUUUGAUACUGAGAGCCUUGAGUCCGGAAGAGGUAAGUGGAACUGCGAGUGUAGAGGUGAAAUUCGUAGAUAUUCGCAAGAACACCAGUGGCGAAGGCGGCUUACUGGUCCGGUACUGACGCUGAGGUGCGAAAGCGUGGGGAGCAAACAGG
rnacentral:rRNA from 1 species